rnacentral:rRNA from 1 species
UGGGGAAUUUUGGACAAUGGGCGAAAGCCUGAUCCAGCAAUGCCGCGUGUGUGAAGAAGGCCUUCGGGUUGUAAAGCACUUUUGUCCGGAAAGAAAUCCUUGGCUCUAAUACAGUCGGGGGAUGACGGUACCGGAAGAAUAAGCACCGGCUAACUACGUGCCAGCAGCCGCGGUAAUACGUAGGGUGCAAGCGUUAAUCGGAAUUACUGGGCGUAAAGCGUGCGCAGGCGGUUUGCUAAGACCGAUGUGAAAUCCCCGGGCUCAACCUGGGAACUGCAUUGGUGACUGGCAGGCUAGAGUAUGGCAGAGGGGGGUAGAAUUCCACGUGUAGCAGUGAAAUGCGUAGAGAUGUGGAGGAAUACCGAUGGCGAAGGCAGCCCCCUGGGCCAAUACUGACGCUCAUGCACGAAAGCGUGGGGGAGCAAACAGGAUUAGAUACCCUGGUAGUCCACGCCCUAAACGAUGUCAACUAGUUGUUGGGGAUUCAUUUCCUUAGUAACGUAGCUAACGCGUGAAGUUGACCGCCUGGGGGAGUAUGGUCGCAAGAUUAAAACUCAAAUGAAUUGACGGGGUCAU